rnacentral:rRNA from 1 species
UACGUAGGGGGCAAGCGUUGUCCGGAAUCAUUGGGCGUAAAGAGCGUGUAGGCGGCCUGUUAAGUCUUGCGUGAAAUCUCGGGGCUCAACCCCGAGCGGUCGUGAGAAACUGGCAGGCUAGAGUGCGGGAGAGGAGAAUGGAAUUCCGGUGUAGCGGUGAAAUGCGCAGAUAUCGGGAAGAACACCCGUGGCGAAGGCGGUUCUCUGGGACGG